CAGAGUUGCAAAACUCCCAACCAUUGUGAACGUUACCUGUACCGUUGCUUCGGCGGGCGGCUCCCUCGGGGGCCGCAACCCUUACGGGUGCCCGCCGGAGGACAUCAACUCUUUGUUUUUUAGGCCUCUCUGAGUAAUCAUACAAAUAAGUUA
rnacentral:misc_RNA from 1 species